UACGUAAGGGCCGAGCGUUGUCCGGAAUCAUUGGGCGUAAAGGGUACGUAGGCGGAUAAGCAAGUUUGAAGUGAAAUCCUAGAGCUCAACUAUAGUAAGCAUUUAAAACUGCUCAUCUUGAGGUAUGGAAGGGAAAGUGGAAUUCCUAGUGUAGCGGUGAAAUGCGCAGAUAUUAGGAGGAAUACCGGUGGCGAAGGCGACUUUCUGGCCAUUAUCUGACGCUGAGGCACGAAAGCGUGGGGAGCAAACAGG
rnacentral:rRNA from 1 species